GUCCUAAUCUUAAUGUUACUUUUUACUAAACCUACACAUGUAAGUAUCAGCAAACCAGUGAAAAUGCCCUAAAAGUCCACACCAGACAAAAGGAGCCGGUAUCAGGCACGCCAUGACAGCCCAAAACACCUUGCUUCGCCACACCCCCAAGGGUACUACAACAGUGAUUAACUUUAAGCAAUAAGCAUAAGCUUGACUUAGUUAUAGUAAAUUACACUCAGGGUUGGUAAAUCUCGUGCCAGCCACCGCGGUUAUACAAGAAACCCAAAGCAACAAUAAUAGCGGCGUAAAAUGUGGUUAAACUAAAUUCAUAAAAACCUAAGGUUGCCCCUUCCACCAAACUGUCAUACGUAAAGUACAAAUCAACUCAAUACGAAAGUAGCCUUAAUGUACCAGAAAACUUGAAUCCACGAUCGUUAAGACACAAACUGGGAUUAGAUACCCCACUAUGCUUAACCCUAAACUUAGAUAAUUUAAAUACAAAACUAUCCGCCAGAAAACUACGAGCAAAACGCUUAAAACUCCAAGGACUUGGCGGUACCUCAAAUCCACCUAGAGGAGCCUGUUCUAUAAUCGAUAAUCCACGAUAAACCUCACCAUCCUUUGCCAACUCAGCCUAUAUACCACCGUCACAGCCUACCUUAUGAAAGUCAAAAAGUAAGCUCAAUAGCCACAACAGCUAACAAGUCAGGUCAAGGUGUAGCCAAUUAAGAUGGAAGAAAUGGGCUACAUUUUCUAUAGUAGAAAUAAACCACGGAACAGAACUAUGAAACAUAGCCUAGAUUAAGAAGGAUUUAGCAGUAAAUUGAGAACAGAGAGCCCAAUUUAAACUGGACCUGAGGUGCGCACACACCGCCCGUCACCCCC
rnacentral:ncRNA from 1 species